AACCUUAUGGACCUGCGGGCGUAUACCUGCGGAAGGAUCAUUACCGAGUGCGGGCCCUCUGGGUCCAACCUCCCACCCGUGUUUAUUGUACCUUGUUGCUUCGGCGGGCCCGCCAGUCUGGCCGCUAAGGGGCACCUGCCCCUACGCCCGCGCCCGCCGAAGACAUCUCGAACUCUGUCUGAAGAUUGAAGUCUGAGUGGAAUUACAAAUUAGUUAAAACUUUCAACAAUGGAUCUCAGA
rnacentral:misc_RNA from 1 species